GAUCCUGGCUCAGGAUGAACGCUAGCUACAGGCUUAACACAUGCAAGUCGAGGGGCAGCAUGACGAUAGCUUGCUAUUGUUGAUGGCGACCGGCGCACGGGUGAGUAACGCGUAUCCAACCUUCCCAUAGCUAGGGAAUAACCUUGCGAAAGUAAGACUAAUGCCCUAUAACAUUCUUUGUCAGACAUCUAAAGAGAAUUAAAGAAUUUAUUCGGCUAUGGAUGGGGAGUGCG
rnacentral:rRNA from 1 species